GACCGUAUAUUCAAUUAUGAUUUUAGAUUGCAAUUCUAACGGUGUGAUUUUUCACUAAGGUCU
rnacentral:tRNA from 1 species